AGAAAGUGAAGCAAGAACUGCUAAUUCAUGCUUCCGCGCUUACACCCGCGGCUUUCUC
rnacentral:tRNA from 1 species